GAUACUUUUAAUGGCGUGAGCACCAAACACAAGGUCCACAACAAUCCCUUUGUUUGAUAGAAAUUUCAAGUGUCAGAAUCUCUUUAUAUAGAGCUACAUUUAAAUAUCACAUCUGUCGUUACAUAUUCAUCUUUAUCAGUGCCAUGGCUGCAGAAACACAAGUACUGCACACAAGUCAAUAGUCACACAGAUACAGACAGCCAAACGCACAAGGGUGUCACGAAAACAGCAAUACAAUCCAGAGCUCCCUGAAAACAUGAAACUAAUGAUGUCAUGGGUAAGUAGUAGUUUGAUAUGAGCAGUGUGGUAGUAACAUAGUCCAUUAGCUCCCUGUUUAAACUAUAGGCAGGUUAUGGCUUAAAGACACAGAAGCGAUGGUUGGUACUUUGUUUGGCCUUAAAACUGUUCUUUCACAAACACAUCAGAUGCACCUGUCUGAGCUCAUUACAGACAAAAUAAGUUGAACAGGAAAAGUGAAGGGGAAAUUAUUUAAACAUUAAAAUGAUUAGGAACUGUUCUAAUCAACAAACAUCAAGGAAAUUAGUCUUUAAUUUUAUAAUUUCAAAAUUUGCUGAAUAUAAUAUUAUGUACUUAAAGAGGAGGUAUUUUAUUUCUAUGGGGUAUUAACUGCACAUAAUAUUAAUAUCAUCGUGUUGCCUUAUAUUGUUUUGAAAAUGCUAUAUUUGAGUUUUCCAUCUCUCUGCUCCCCACGCUAAGUCACUACCCCAUCAGAGCGCUAUCAGAAUACAAUCUGCGUGCACCCGCUAAUGAAACUACUGCACAUCACAUCAGGUUUGUCAAGUUGCUGUGUAGUUUUAUACCAUGUUUUUGUAUAUUUAUGCAGAGUUGUCGUGCGGGAGCAUGGGUGAUGUAGGAUUGUGGGCGGAGCCUUGUACAGAAUCUUACAGCAAACCAUAAGAAGGGUUUGAAUAAAACAUCGCAAAUCUCUUCAGGGAUGUUUUUGAUCAGGGAACAACGUUAUAACAUGGUAGCAAUCGGCAAAACAUCUAAUUUGCAUAAUACCCCCUCUUUAAAGGAACUGUAUGUAAGAUUUUGAUUUUAAAUUUCAUGAACUUGACCUCUCCCCAGAUACGAGGUGAGGAAACAUGUUCAAAUCAAAUGAAGCUUUUACUGUUAACAAUUAUAAUGCUGAUUUAUUCUUAAUUACAAAAACAUUGGACAUGAUGGCACAUUUAUUUAUGUUAUACUUUGGUGUUUUGGUUCAAGAUGGUUAUCCAAUCAGAAAGCAGGAUGAGCCUCACAUGACUCUUAUUUGUGUUGUCAAGUUUAAUGCAGAAAUCCAGUUGUUUUAACGGUCACUGCCUAAAAUUAAAUAUAACAGACUUGUGGUGAAUGAGUUGCUGCUUGCUUAAAAUGACAAAAUGAUUACAGUAAUUAAUUAAAAGUGUUCAAACAUACACAAAGUAACGAGUCUUCUCAAAAUAACAUAACUCCUGUUCAAAUCCAAAUGUCUAAAACAGAGAGAGACCCCUGGCUGUGAGAGGGGGCAGAAGGCAGUGUGGGCGGGGCAGUUUUCUUGGCUGAG
ensembl:lncRNA